UACGUAGGGGGCUAGCGUUGUCCGGAAUCAUUGGGCGUAAAGCGUGCGCAGGCGGUUUUGUAAGUCUGUCGUGAAAUCCCCGGGCUCAACCUGGGAAUGGCGAUGGAGACUGCAAGGCUAGAGUUUGGCAGAGGGGGGUAGAAUUCCACGUGUAGCAGUGAAAUGCGUAGAUAUGUGGAGGAACACCGAUGGCGAAGGCAGCCCCCUGGGUCAAAACUGACGCUCAUGCACGAAAGCGUGGGGAGCAAACAGG
rnacentral:rRNA from 1 species